CGCCCGCCGAGGGGCCCUUUCCCGGAGCCGAGGUACUGUCUCCUGACUUUAAUAACAGUGGACUUACCUGACCUCAGGAGUCAAGGGGUUAAGCUACAGGUCUGCUAGGCAAGUGACUUAAUGAACCUGUCUUCUGAGUCUGGCCCCUCCUCAAGUGGUGACAAGAGGGCUGAGGGGAAGUGGAGCGCGGUAGGAGUGAGGAAGACACAGACGCCUUAUUUCGUGCAAGUGUCUCCUGCUGAGGGCCUCAGCGGGUCUUUGUCUAUACCUUAAGGCGAGCGGUGGGACGACAUCAGCGUAAGCACUGAGGCAAAGACAACCAGUACAUAUUUCCUCGUGAUCAUGUAAAGACUCCCUUGGCCUCACACCUGUAGGCCGUUUCUUUGGUAACCUAAGAAGAGUUCGUUUCCUAGGUGCAGCUCACUGACUAGCAGGAUCACUCGUACAAGACAGCACAACGUUUGGCAACAAUUAAACUUUCCCAAUUACGAAAGUGGGUGUAAAAUUCCUAUUCUACAUUCAAUUACUAAAAUCAGUCUAUCUCCUAGCACUAAUUAACUUGGCUAAUAUAUUGAUUACUUCAAAGUGGUGUAAAACAACUCAUCAAGGGCCUCCCCGGUGGUGCAGCGGUUAAGCACUGGGUUGCGAAGCUGCCCGCAGCCUCUGCAGCACCAGUUCAAUCCCUGGUACCCAGGUGAGGGUCCCACAUGGCGCGCAGACCUCUCCUGCCGCCCGCGGCUCCCCUCGGCAGUGUCCUUCGGUCCUUCUGCCUGCUCUGCUCCCCGCUCUGGCGCUGGUGAAUCCUCUCACCCUCCCGCGCUUCUGACUGUCCCCAG